rnacentral:tRNA from 1 species
ACACCGUUAGUUUAACCAGGCAGAGCAACUGACUCUUAAUCAGUGGGUCGAAGGUUCGAUUCCUUCAGGGCGCA